GAUGAACGCUAGCUACAGGCUUAACACAUGCAAGUCGAGGGGCAGCAUGGUCUUAGCUUGCUAAGGCCGAUGGCGACCGGCGCACGGGUGAGUAACACGUAUCCAACCUGCCGUCUACUCUUGGACAGCCUUCUGAAAGGAAGAUUAAUACAAGAUGGCAUCAUGAGUCCACAUGUUCACAUGAUUAAAGGUAUUCCGGUAGACGAUGGGGAUGCGUUCCAUUAGAUAGUAGGCGGGGUAACGGCCCACCUAGUCUUCGAUGGAUAGGGGUUCUGAGAGGAAGGUCCCCCACAUUGGAACUGAGACACGGUCCAAACUCCUACGGGAGGCAGCAGUGAGGAAUAUUGGUCAAUGGGCGAGAGCCUGAACCAGCCAAGUAGCGUGAAGGAUGACUGCCCUAUGGGUUGUAAACUUCUUUUAUAAAGGAAUAAAGUCGGGUAUGGAUACCCGUUUGCAUGUACUUUAUGAAUAAGGAUCGGCUAACUCCGUGCCAGCAGCCGCGGUAAUGCGGAGGAUCCGAGCGUUAUCCGGAUUUAUUGGGUUUAAAGGGAGCGUAGAUGGAUGUUUAAGUCAGUUGUGAAAGUUUGCGGCUCAACCGUAAAAUUGCAGUUGAUACUGGAUAUCUUGAGUGCAGUUGAGGCAGGCGGAAUUCGUGGUGUAGCGGUGAAAUGCUUAGAUAUCACGAAGAACUCCGAUUGCGAAGGCAGCCUGCUAAGCUGCAACUGACAUUGAGGCUCGAAAGUGUGGGUAUCAAACAGGAUUAGAUACCCUGGUAGUCCACACGGUAAACGAUGAAUACUCGCUGUUUGCGAUAUACAGCAAGCGGCCAAGCGAAAGCGUUAAGUAUUCCACCUGGGGAGUACGCCGGCAACGGUGAAACUCAAAGGAAUUGACGGGGGCCCGCACAAGCGGAGGAACAUGUGGUUUAAUUCGAUGAUACGCGAGGAACCUUACCCGGGCUUAAAUUGCAGAUGAAUUACGGUGAAAGCCGUAAGCCGCAAGGCAUCUGUGAAGGUGCUGCAUGGUUGUCGUCAGCUCGUGCCGUGAGGUGUCGGCUUAAGUGCCAUAACGAGCGCAACCCUUGUUGUCAGUUACUAACAGGUUCCGCUGAGGACUCUGACAAGACUGCCAUCGUAAGAUGUGAGGAAGGUGGGGAUGACGUCAAAUCAGCACGGCCCUUACGUCCGGGGCUACACACGUGUUACAAUGGGGGGUACAGAGGGCCGCUACCACGCGAGUGGAUGCCAAUCCCAAAAACCUCUCUCAGUUCGGACUGGAGUCUGCAACCCGACUCCACGAAGCUGGAUUCGCUAGUAAUCGCGCAUCAGCCACGGCGCGGUGAAUACGUUCCCGGGCCU
rnacentral:rRNA from 1 species